UUUUGACGUCCAUCCCGCGGGUCAGUCACGCUGGGAUGGAAAUUGUUCCUGUGAGACCUUGGCUUCUUGUGUCUGGGCUGGAAUAGGGUUGUAGGUGGAAGUACUAUUGGACAGAUUGCUUGUAUUGUUGAAAUUAGGUAUAUUCGUGGAUUAAUUACGCGGUUAAAGUGUUUCGAAGUAGUGAUGAUUUGACUGCAGUGUAGUGUGACGAUAAAACUCGGUAGGUGGAAAAAUAAAGAAAUUUAACUGAUGGUGUAUUAAAGACAAAAAACAACAACCACGAAUCGUGUGUAGAAAUGAAAUUGUUGUGCAAAGAUUAUAAUGUUAAUGAAGAAGAAAAGUAAGAAAACACUUAUUAUCUGCGUUUGUACUGAAGGAAAUGUCACCAAGAUCAAGAGGUUAAAAAUAGGGUAAUUUGAAUGAAAGGGAAGACAGUACACUUAAUUACUUGCUUUACUUUUGAUAUUUGUAAUACCAACACUUUAUGAGUUUGUGACUCCCUCUUGAUUAAUAGCAAAUUAAAGUGUAAGCCAGUGUACUUACAUUGAAAUUGAUACUUCAGUUUAAAAAGUACGUCUGUCAGUACUUACGCAUCUUCUCGUCUCGUGUCAUCUAGCUACUGACGGAAACCAAACAAGUGAGGUUAAAGUGACU